UACGAAGGGGGCUAGCGUUGUUCGGAAUCACUGGGCGUAAAGGGCGCGUAGGCGGCUUUAUAAGUCGGGGGUGAAAGCCUGUGGCUCAACCACAGAAUUGCCUUCGAUACUGUAGAGCUUGAGACCGGAAGAGGUGAGUGGAACUGCGAGUGUAGAGGUGAAAUUCGUAGAUAUUCGCAAGAACACCAGUGGCGAAGGCGGCUCCCUGGCCCGAUACUGACGCUGAGGCACGAAAGCGUGGGGAGCAAACAGG
rnacentral:rRNA from 1 species